rnacentral:lncRNA from 1 species
GGAGAGGGAAUUGGCAGGUUCAGCGGGAGGCUACUCCCCCACCUGUCUCCAGGCACUGCAGACACAGCUGCUGCGGAAGGAGACAGUCAAAGCUUCCAAGGAAAGAAAUGGCCAAGAUUUGAGAGAAACCUGGCAGCGUCCCCAAGCCUGGCACGGGAUCGCCUCAGACGCACUCGGCUGCUCCGGAGGCGGAGCGCGAAGCAUCGGACCCGGCGGGCGGAGCCAGGCCAGCGGGGCGCAGCGCAACGCCUUCCGCCAGGGCGUCUGGCGCCACCUACCGACGACCAGGCAAGCGUCAGUGCGACCCCAAAGCAAGCUGCUGUGAACUGGCUGGACCUGGUCCCAGCCACUAUAGCAACAGCAUUUCCAACAAAGGCCACCCGUCUUAGCCUACCCAGCUCAGAAACUCCUGUCUGAGUCCUCUGCCCUAGGAGUUGAUCUAACUGCUUUAUGUAAACCCAACCUGAGGACGAAGGCAGUCUGUGAUCCCAGUAUACGCUCAGCGAAGUGUGUGUGCUCCCCGCAACAGUAGCGUGAAUGAACAUAUAAUGAACCAACCUAUUAAAAAAAAAAACUUUCAGAUAUAUUUGUUUGUCAGACAUUUUGUUGGUGGCUAGUAAAGUCUACAAUAACUG